UACCAUGCAAGUCGAGCGGUAACAGAGAGUAGCUUGCUACUUUGCUGACGAGCGGCGGACGGGUGAGUAAUGCUUGGGAACAUGCCUUGAGGUGGGGGACAACAGUUGGAAACGACUGCUAAUACCGCAUAAUGUCUACUGACCAAAGGGGGCUUCGGCUCUCGCCUUUAGAUUGGCCCAAGUGGGAUUAGCUAGUUGGUGAGGUAAUGGCUCACCAAGGCGACGAUCCCUAGCUGGUUUGAGAGGAUGAUCAGCCACACUGGGACUGAGACACGGCCCAGACUCCUACGGGAGGCAGCAGUGGGGAAUAUUGCACAAUGGGCGCAAGCCUGAUGCAGCCAUGCCGCGUGUGUGAAGAAGGCCUUCGGGUUGUAAAGCACUUUCAGUCAGGAGGAAAGGUUAGUAGUUAAUACCUGCUAGCUGUGACGUUACUGACAGAAGAAGCACCGACUAACUCCGUGCCAGCAGCCGCGGUAAUACGGAUGGUGCGAGCGUUAAUCGGAAUUACUGGGCGUAAAGCGCGCGUAGGCGGCUAAGUCAGUCAGAAGUGAAAGCCCCGGGCUCAACCUGGGAAUUGCUUUUGAUACUGCUUAGCUAGAGUUUGGUAGAGGAUAGUGGAAUUCCAGGUGUAGCGGUGAAAUGCGUAGAUAUCUGGAGGAACAUCAGUGGCGAAGGCGACUGUCUGGACCAAAACUGACGCUGAGGUGCGAAAGCGUGGGUAGCAAACAGGAUUAGAUACCCUGGUAG
rnacentral:rRNA from 1 species